CCAAUAGCGUAUAUUAAAGUUGUUGCAGUUAAAAAGCUCGUAGUUGAAUUUCGGGAUCAAUAUGUCGGUCGUGCCUUCGGUACGUACUGGUAUCAUUGGUUUCUCCUUUCUGACGAAUCAUGAUGUCAUUAAUUUGGUGUUAUGGGGAGUUAGGACUGUUACUUUGAAAAAAUUAGAGUGUUUAAAGCAGGCUUUAGCUUGAAUACAUUAGCAUGGAAUAAUGAAAUAGGACGUUCGAACCUAUUUUGUUGGUUUCUAGGAUCAACGUAAUGAUUAAUAGGGAUAGUUGGGGGCAUUAGUAUUCAAUUGUCAGAGGUGAAAUUCUUGGAUUUAUUGAAGACUAACUACUGCGAAAGCAUUUGCCAAGGAUGUUUUCAUUAAUCAAGAACGAAAGUUAGGGGAUCGAAGACGAUCAGAUACCGUCGUAGUCUUAACCAUAAACUAUGCCGACUAGGGAUCGGAUGAUGUUAAUUUUUUAAUGACUCAUUCGGCGCCUUACG
rnacentral:rRNA from 1 species